rnacentral:tRNA from 1 species
CGCGCAGUAGGGGAGCCUGGUCGUCCCCGCGAGCUUCAUGCGCUCGAGAUCGUCAGUUCAAAUCUGGCCUGCGCAACCA